rnacentral:rRNA from 1 species
UACGUAGGGUGCAAGCGUUAUCCGGAAUUAUUGGGCGUAAAGGGCUCGUAGGCGGUUCGUCGCGUCCGGUGUGAAAGUCCAUCGCUUAACGGUGGAUCCGCGCCGGGUACGGGCGGGCUUGAGUGCGGUAGGGGAGACUGGAAUUCUCGGUGUAACGGUGGAAUGUGUAGAUAUCGGGAAGAACACCAAUGGCGAAGGCAGGUCUCUGGGCCGUUACUGACGCUGAGGAGCGAAAGCGUGGGGAGCGAACAGG